rnacentral:rRNA from 1 species
GAUAAACGCUGGCGGCGUGCCUAAUACAUGCAAGUCGAGCGAACGGACGAGAAGCUUGCUUCUCUGAUGUUAGCGGCGGACGGGUGAGUAACACGUGGAUAACCUACCUAUAAGACUGGGAUAACUUCGGGAAACCGGAGCUAAUACCGGAUAAUAUUUUGAACCGCAUGGUUCAAAAGUGAAAGACGGUCUUGCUGUCACUUAUAGAUGGAUCCGCGCUACAUUAGCUAGUUGGUAAGGUAACGGCUUACCAAGGCAACGAUGCAUAGCCGGCCUGAGAGGGUGAUCGGCCACACUGGAACUGAGACACGGUCCAGACUCCUACGGGAGGCAGCAGUAGGGAAUCUUCCGCAAUGGGCGAAAGCCUGACGGAGCAACGCCGCGUGAGUGAUGAAGGUCUUCGGAUCGUAAAACUCUGUUAUUAGGGAAGAACAUAUGUGUAAGUAACUGUGCACAUCUUGACGGUACCUAAUCAGAAAGCCACGGCUAACUACGUGCCAGCAGCCGCGGUAAUACGUAGGUGGCAAGCGUUAUCCGGAAUUAUUGGGCGUAAAGCGCGCGUAGGCGGUUUUUUAAGUCUGAUGUGAAAGCCCACGGCUCAACCGUGGAGGGUCAUUGGAAACUGGAAAACUUGAGUGCAGAAGAGGAAAGUGGAAUUCCAUGUGUAGCGGUGAAAUGCGCAGAGAUAUGGAGGAACACCAGUGGCGAAGGCGACUUUCUGGUCUGUAACUGACGCUGAUGUGCGAAAGCGUGGGGAUCAAACAGGAUUAGAUACCCUGGUAGUCCACGCCGUAAACGAUGAGUGCUAAGUGUUAGGGGGUUUCCGCCCCUUAGUGCUGCAGCUAACGCAUUAAGCACUCCGCCUGGGGAGUACGACCGCAAGGUUGAAACUCAAAGGAAUUGACGGGGACCCGCACAAGCGGUGGAGCAUGUGGUUUAAUUCGAAGCAACGCGAAGAACCUUACCAAAUCUUGACAUCCUUUGACAACUCUAGAGAUAGAGCCUUCCCCUUCGGGGGACAAAGUGACAGGUGGUGCAUGGUUGUCGUCAGCUCGUGUCGUGAGAUGUUGGGUUAAGUCCCGCAACGAGCGCAACCCUUAAGCUUAGUUGCCAUCAUUAGGUUGGGCACUCUAAGUUGACUGCCGGUGACAAACCGGAGGAAGGUGGGGAUGACGUCAAAUCAUCAUGCCCCUUAUGAUUUGGGCUACACACGUGCUACAAUGGACAAUACAAAGGGCAGCGAAACCGCGAGGUCAAGCAAAUCCCAUAAAGUUGUUCUCAGUUCGGAUUGUAGUCUGCAACUCGACUACAUGAAGCUGGAAUCGCUAGUAAUCGUAGAUCAGCAUGCUACGGUGAAUACGUUCCCGGGUCU